UUUUCUCUUAUUAAUCUUUGGUUAGGGUUAGGGUUUAGAGAGAUUUUUUUAAUGGAAAUCUUUCUUCAUUCUUCUUUUGUUCUACUUUUCCUUUUGUUUUUUGGAUGAAUUAAGUAGUUCUUUUUUUAGGUUUUAUGUAUCCUCAAUUCCUCAUUCCCUUGUUUCAAUUAGUUUCUGAGUUCACAUCGUCAAAUUUAGGGUAGGGGAAAUGCUGUCGUCUUUCCCCUCUGAAGGGAAUUCAUGAAAGUAUGAACUCAGAUUUUCAUGUUAUUAUUUUUUUCCUUUAAGAUCAGGUUUGGGUGUUUGCUGCAUGUGGGUAUCAGCUAUAUAGCGUCAGAUCAUCUCAGUUUUCUGAAUUGUUUUCCGUUUAUCCUUUUUUGUAGGUAUUCCUGGAUUUAUUUUCUUCUGUUUUUUUUACUUGAUGCUAAUUGUUUCUUGGACAUGUGGAGUGUAGUCUAUGAAGUUUGAGCUGCUGGCCAGAGUAAGGAAUUCAAUCUAGAUUGUAUGAACUAUUUGUUGCCAAUUCGUGGUGAUAUUUUGGAUAGAAGCAUCCUUUCAAGUGGGAUCUAACUUAUAGCUGCUUCUCCCAAUAUUACUUCAAGGACAGUUGGUGGUUGAUGGGAAAAUUGCCUACUACACACUUCCAUAUGUUUUUAUGUAUUGAUGGAAACAAAAUGCUUAAGAGCUCAAAUUAGAGAAGAAAAAGUUGAGUUUUCUGCUCCACCUGGUUUUGUGUCCCUUACGUCCUUCACCUUAAAGAGGGUAGACGAUAGUGGAAUUAUGAUGGAUUGCUUGGAAUCUUCCGUUGCAUCUGAACUGCAGCCAGCUCAGUUGGACACCAAGGACGACAUCAGUGAUGAUUUGAAGAUUCAAAGGACCCUUAGGCGUAGGCCAUGGAUAAACUACAGUCGACUCGAAAACAGCUCAGAGGAGGACUCUGACUCUGAACAGUUUGAUCAGAAUUGUCCUGCAAGACCUGUCCUUCCUAAAGGCAUUAUCCGUGGAUGUUUAGAGUGUACUAACUGCCAAAAGGUUAUAGCAAGAUGGCGUCCUGAAGAUGCAUGCAGGCCUGUUCUUGAGGAGACACCUGUUUUCUACCCGACUGAAGAGGAAUUCAAAGAUACACUAAAGUAUAUUGCAAGUAUACGUCCAAGAGCAGAGCCAUAUGGAAUUUGCCGCAUUGUUCCUCCUCCGUCAUGGAAACCUCCUUGCCCCCUGAAGGACAAGAAUCUAUGGGAAGGUUCUAAAUUUGCCACCCGUAUCCAGCGGGUUGACAAGCUUCAAAAUCGUGGUUCAGUGAAAAGGAUGUCUAGAAUUUCUUAUCAUAUGAAGAGGAAGAGGAGAAGAUGCAUGAAAAUGGGUGUCGAUUCUGGAAUUGUUAAUGGAGAUAGCAUGGGUCCUGAAAAAACUGGAUGCUAUGAGGGCGAGGGAUUUGGUUUUGAACCUGGUCCACAAUUCACUCUUGAAGCUUUCCAGAAAUAUGCUGACGAUUUCAAGGGGCAAUAUUUUCGGAAGCAUGACAUCGAUACAGGUUCAGGGACUGAUCAAAGCAUGCUUCAAAAGCAGGAACCUUUAGUUGAAGAUAUUGAGGGUGAAUAUUGGCGGAUGGUUGAGAAGCCAACUGAAGAGAUUGAGGUUCUAUAUGGGGCUGAUCUGGAAACUGGAGUAUUUGGCAGUGGGUUCCCAAAGGUUUCCUCUGAUUGUGAUGACCAAUAUUCAAGGUCAGGCUGGAACUUGAACAAUUUCCCUAGGCUUCCGGGGUCUGUUCUCUCUUUUGAGAGCAGUGAUAUUUCAGGUGUUCUAGUUCCAUGGUUGUACAUUGGGAUGUGCUUUUCAACAUUUUGUUGGCAUGUUGAGGACCACCACUUGUACUCACUAAAUUACAUGCAUUGGGGUGCUCCAAAAAUAUGGUAUGGUGUGCCAGGAAGAGAUGCUCUCAAGUUGGAGGCAGCUAUGAAGAAGCAUUUGCCUGACUUGUUCAAAGAGCAGCCUGACUUGCUCCAUAAGCUGGUCACACAGCUGUCACCUUCCAUAUUAAAGUCUGAGGGGGUAUCUGUCUCUAGGUGUGUUCAGCAACCUGGGGAGUUUGUUCUCACCUUCCCUCGAGCAUAUCAUGCAGGGUUUAAUUGUGGUUUUAACUGUGCUGAGGCUGUAAAUGUUGCCCCUAUUGACUGGUUGCCACAUGGGCAAAAUGCCACAGAGCUAUACCGUGAGCAAGGGCGAAAGACAUCUAUUUCCCAUGAUAAGCUGUUGCUUGGGGCAGCCAGAGAAGCAGUUAGGGCACAAUGGGAACUCUCAUUAUUAAGGAAGAAUACAUUGGAUAACUUGAGAUGGAAAGAUGUCUGCGGUAAGGAUGGAAUCUUAGCAAAGGCACUGAAGACACGUGUUGAGAUGGAACACACAAGGAGGGAAUAUCUAUGCACAUCUUCACAGUCAACAAAGAUGGAUACCGGCUUUGAUGCAACAAGUGAGAGGGAAUGCAUCAUAUGUCUUUAUGAUUUGCACCUAUCUGCAGCAGGUUGUCAUUGUUCCCCUGACAGAUAUGUGUGUUUGAGUCACGCAAAGCCGCUUUGCUCUUGUGCUUGGAGUGACAAAUUUUUCCUCUUCCGUUAUGAAAUUAGUGAAUUAAAUGUCCUAGUUGAAGCUUUGGAAGGGAAAUUAAGUGCAAUUUAUAGAUGGGCAAAACUAGAUCUUGGACUGGCUUUAAGUUCCUUCAUCUCCAAAGAUAAAUCGCAGGUACCAGGGGUUGUCCGUAAGCCAUCCCAUUUCUCAGAAGAUACGGGACAAGGAGAUCGCAGAUUGCAAGAUGCAGUGAAUUUUGCCGGCAUUCCCACUUCAAAAUCAUAUCCAGAAACUAAGGCUUCUUCUCCCCAAGUAACACCCAUGAAAAAACCUCAUGAACAGAACACAGCGAACACGGUGAGUAAAACUGGUAGCAACCUUGCAAAUGCCUGUACAAUACAAAAAGAGAAGACGUCUGAAGCUUUGUUGGCUUCUGAGGGUGUGUACUCAAGUGCACAAAGUCAGGUCUCACAUGAAAAAGCAACAGUAGAUCAAAGCUUUCAGUUGAGGGAAACAGGAGGCCUAGUUUCAGGUUCCAUUUUAGGUACUCCUAUUUGUGGGCUCUCUGAAGAAGACUCGUCAUAUGCUGAGUUACCUGGUGAUACUUGUAGUGAACUUGACACUUCAGCACACUCUACUGUCAUUCCCAGUGGUAAUCCUUUGACCAAUUUGGCCACAGUGGCCCAUAAGGUGAACAACCUGGCUACAAUGGGAGAGGGUGGUGUUAUACUUCUCAGUGAUGAUGAGGGUGAAGAGCCUCAUCAGUCAUUGGCAAGCAAAGCCAUUAGAAAAUCCAUCGUAAAAGACCUGGAAGUUUCUACAAGGAUGACAAAUUGCGAUGAUAAGAUGAGUUCCUGUGACAACAAGAAGGAUCAAGUGUUGGAUACACCUGAGACCAAUGCAUCAGUGAUGAGUGAAGGGGACAGUAACUUAUCUAUUAUGCAGGAGGAUAAGAUCUCUGGCCCAGUGACCCUUAAUGUUACAGAUCUUGGAGAAAGUAAAACGUGCCAUGAGCACAAAUUUGGGAUAUUGAAUGAUACACUGCAGAACCUUGCUUGCAACGAAAGUAAUUCUGCCAGUGCGGCUUCUGGGAAAACCAUCCAAGAUUUUCCUUCUCACAGAGAAACUGUAGAGUGCAAUGUGGCGACAGCUAGGAUCUCUCUUCAGCUGUCACAGCCAAUCAAUUAUGUUCGUCACAAAGGUCCUCGCAUUGCAAAAGUGGUGCGAAGGAUCAGCCGCAAUAUUGAACCUUUAGAAUUCGGGGUUGUGCUUUCUGGAGAGUUGUGGUGCAGCAGCCAUGCCAUAUUCCCCAAAGGAUUCAAGAGUCGAGUAAUGUACUUUAGUGUUCUAGAGCCAACGAAAAUGUGUCACUAUGUAUCAGAAAUUCUUGACGCAGGGCUACGCAGGCCUCUUUUUAUGGUUACUAUGGAGCAGUGCCCGAGUGAGGUGUUCAUCCAUCUCUCAGCUUCUAAAUGCUGGGAAUUGGUUAGAGAGCGAGUGAAUCAAGAGAUAAGGAAACAGCAAACCCUGAGGCGAAUGGACCUUCCCCCAUUGCAGCCCCCUGGAAGUCUCGAUGGUCUGGAAAUGUUUGGGUUCUCUUCUCCAGCAAUCAUUCAGGGUAUAGAGGCAAUUGAUCAGAACCGAAUCUGUACUGAGUACUGGAAAUCCAGGUCCCAUGCCCUGGAUUCAAUUGACUGUCAACCUGAAAAUGUGGUCAGAGAUCCCAACCUGAAGGUCAAGGAGGACCCCACCAAUCAAGAGGCAGUCAAGGGAAUUGAGAAUCAGCCCUCAACCAUUGGUAUUGACACAGUGCUCGGGGGCCUCUUUAUGAAGGCAAGUCCAGAAGAACUACAUUCACUCUACAGUAUACUAUGCAACAACCAACCAAAUGCUGAUAGAGAACUCCUAGCUCGGGUUCUUGAUGAGGAGAUUCAGAAGCGGCCAAUGAAUCGUGUGCCUAACAUGGAAGGUUGUUGAACGGGAAUGUCAGGUAAAGCGAUGGAGGAGGCUUCUGCUCAUCUUUUAAUGUAAUUAAGACUGAAGGCAGGGGGGGGGGGGGACUGAAGAUUUUAGGAUUUUGAAAGCAGUUCCUCAUCUCUUCAUUUUCUUUUUCCAUCAAAUUGCAGGAGUCUAGCUUCAAUUUUUUGAAGCAUCAGGAGGGUUCAGACUGGUCUGCCCUAUCCUUUAUUUGUUUGUUUUAGCUAUGGAAGUGUGAUUGACAGGGCUUUUAAGAUGAACUCUCGCAAAACUGGAUAGGAAUAAAGAAUUGCUAUUCAGGAAGGUAUGGGAGGCAGUGACUGGAAGGGAAGUAAGGAACCACCGGGAAGCCAAACGAUAAGCUGAAAGCACUGGGAUGUAGUCACCAUUACAUCCUUCUAGAGAUUAAUCAUGCCUACUUGGGUCUUUCCCCUCCCGAAUCAAUCUGUCAUGAUUGUUCAUUGUGUUGUGAAAUCACGGAUCAGUGUUUUUAAAGUGAUUUCAUUUGUUAUGUUCUCAAUUAGAGCCAGUUGAGGUCGGUGCAAUGCACAUAGCCAAUGAAUUGUUAUUA